rnacentral:rRNA from 1 species
GGGAGCUUGCUCCCUUAGGUCAGCGGCGGACGGGUGAGUAACACGUGGGUAACCUGCCUGUAAGACUGGGAUAACUCCGGGAAACCGGGGCUAAUACCGGAUGCUUGAUUGAACCGCAUGGUUCAAUCAUAAAAGGUGGCUUUUAGCUACCACUUACAGAUGGACCCGCGGCGCAUUAGCUAGUUGGUGAGGUAACGGCUCACCAAGGCGACGAUGCGUAGCCGACCUGAGAGGGUGAUCGGCCACACUGGGACUGAGACACGGCCCAGACUCCUACGGGAGGCAGCAGUAGGGAAUCUUCCGCAAUGGACGAAAGUCUGACGGAGCAACGCCGCGUGAGUGAUGAAGGUUUUCGGAUCGUAAAACUCUGUUGUUAGGGAAGAACAAGUACCGUUCGAAUAGGGCGGUACCUUGACGGUACCUAACCAGAAAGCCACGGCUAACUACGUGCCAGCAGCCGCGGUAAUACGUAGGUGGCAAGCGUUGUCCGGAAUUAUUGGGCGUAAAGCGCGCGCAGGCGGUUUCUUAAGUCUGAUGUGAAAGCCCCCGGCUCAACCGGGGAGGGUCAUUGGAAACUGGGGAACUUGAGUGCAGAAGAAGAGAGUGGAAUUCCACGUGUAGCGGUGAAAUGCGUAGAGAUGUGGAGGAACACCAGUGGCGAAGGCGACUCUCUGGUCUGUAACUGACGCUGAGGCGCGAAAGCGUGGGGAGCGAACAGGAUUAGAUACCCUGGUAGUCCACGCCGUAAACGAUGAGUGCUAAGUGUUAGAGGGUUUCCGCCCUUUAGUGCUGCAGCAAACGCAUUAAGCACUCCGCCUGGGGAGUACGGUCGCAAGACUGAAACUCAAAGGAAUUGACGGGGGCCCGCACAAGCGGUGGAGCAUGUGGUUUAAUUCGAAGCAACGCGAAGAACCUUACCAGGUCUUGACAUCCUCUGACAACCCUAG